rnacentral:rRNA from 1 species
AGCGAACGCUGGCGGCAGGCCUAACACAUGCAAGUCGAACGAAGUCUUCGGACUUAGUGGCGGACGGGUGAGUAACACGUGGGAACGUGCCCUUUGGUACGGAAUAACUCAGGGAAACUUGAGCUAAUACCGUAUGUGCCCUUCGGGGGAAAGAUUUAUCGCCAUUGGAGCGGCCCGCGUCUGAUUAGCUAGUUGGUGAGGUAAAGGCUCACCAAGGCGAGGAUCAGUAGCUGGUCUGAGAGGAUGAUCAGCCACAUUGGGACUGAGACACGGCCCAAACUCCUACGGGAGGCAGCAGUGGCGAAUCUUGCGCAAUGGGCGAAAGCCUGACGCAGCCAUGCCGCGUGAAUGAUGAAGGUCUUAGGAUUGUAAAAUUCUUUCACCGGGGACGAUAAUGACGGUACCCGGAGAAGAAGCCCCGGCUGACUUCGUGCCAGCCGCCGCAGUAACAC